rnacentral:misc_RNA from 1 species
GAUCAUUACCGAGUGUAGGGUUCCUAGCGAGCCCAACCUCCCACCCGUGUUUACUGUAACCUUAGUUGCUUCGGCGGGCCCGCCUUUAAGGCCGCCGGGGGGCAUCAGCCCCCGGGCCCGCGCCCGCCGGAGACACCACGAACUCUGUCUGAUCUAGUGAAGUCUGAGUUGAUUGUAUCGCAAUCAGUUAAAACUUUCAACAAUGGAUCUCUUGGUUCCGGCAUCGAUGAAGAACGCAGCGAAAUGCGAUAACUAGUGUGAAUUGCAGAAUUCCGUGAAUCAUCGAGUCUUUGAACGCACAUUGCGCCCCCUGGUAUUCCGGGGGGCAUGCCUGUCCGAGCGUCAUUGCUGCCCAUCAAGCACGGCUUGUGUGUUGGGUCGUCGUCCCCUCUUCGGGGGGGACGGGCCCCAAAGGCAGCGGCGGCACCGCGUCCGAUCCUCGAGCGUAUGGGGCUUUGUCACCCGCUCUGUAGGCCCGGCCGGCGCUUGCCGAACGCAAAACAACCAUUCUUUCCAGGUUGACCUCGGAUCAGGUAGGGAUACCCGCUGAACCUAAGCAUAUCA